UCUUCUGCAUGUAUUGUGUAUAUUCUUGUUGGUGCUUUGCUAUGAUAUACUAGCAUGAUUAUUGUUCUUGGUGGGGCUAUCAAAAAUAUUAUUACCUAGGUACCUAAUAAUUUUAUUAGGUAUUUGCAUUGGAUAUACGAUUUAUGCUUACUACAUUAAUUUACUGUUAAAUGAAAAAUAUGUAUAUAUAUUACAAGGGAUGGGAUUGGAUAUGAUGACAUAUGUGUCAGUUGGCAUAAUUUGUUUUUUUUUCAGCUGACUCUAAUCCAGUUACGCCAUAUUCAAACACGCAGCCUUCAAUCUCUCCUCCACCAUAUUCGCCACUUACUCCACUAAACUUUAUGAAUAAAAAAAGUACGAAUAAUAAUUUACAAGAUACUUGUGAUCCUGUUAUUACACUACAAGAAAUACAGGAUGAAGUUUCCCCAUCAUCAUCACCUCUUCGACCAAUGUCACCAGAAACGCAACAACUAUUUAAUAUAUUAGCUGAGUAUGAACCAAUUAACAACAUUAACGAAAAUAAUGAUAUUUCAAAACACGUAGAUGCACCUGACUGUUUUGAUAGUGAUGACAGCGUUAGAGAUCCAGAUUAUGUCUCACAUAGCAAAGUAAUACAUAUAGAUGAGUCGACAACAUCUUGUUCGUCUUUUAGUGAUAGUGUAGAUCAUGAGGUGAGUAAAAAUAAGAAAUUUCCAUCAAAAGAAAAGCUCAACAAUGAGGGUAUAGAAAUGCUAGAACCUAACAAUGAAGAAUCAACAGAACUUAUUCCACUUAUAAGUGACGAAGAUUUACGAUCUAAUUUGGGAACUGGUAGACCGAAAAGGGGCCGUAAGAGAAUUAAUCCUCAACUUAGAUCUGAGAGAAAACAUAAUAAAUACAAUAAUUUAGAAUACACGACCUCUAAAAAUAAAUUAGUGAAACCAAAAACCUUUAUUGAAUAUAAUUGUAAAUGUUUAAAAAAUUGCGCUAGCUUGAUUCCAAUAGAGAAAAGAAAGGAAGAGUUCGAAAAAUUUGUGCGUCUAGGGUCCUACAAUGCACAAUGUUUAUACUUAGGAUCAUGUAUUAAAGAAGAAAAUAAAAAACGAAGUUACACUAUGACUAAUGUUCCUGAGGCAAAAAAAAAGCCAAAGCAAUUCAGCCGUGUCUAUUCUAUUAAUGGUACAAAAGUAUGUCGUGAUAUGUUUUUAAAUACUUUUCAAAUUACUACUCAAAAAGUUACCAUUGCACUAAAAAAAACUUAGAAGCAGUGAGCCCAUAAUGGAUGGUAGAGGAGUUAGCACAGGUGGCAAGAAUAAAUUAUCAGAUGAAAUGUACAAUUUCAUAGUCGAAACUAUUUCAAAACUACCAAAGUAUGAGUCGCACUACAGAAGAGAAAAGAACAAUGACACGUUAUAUUUACAACCGGGGAUGACAUUAACCAAAAUUUACGAUAUAUAUCAGCAGGAGUACACAAAAACUUAUGGUGAAGGGCAAAAGUGCGCUUCCUUCGAAUCAAUCAAAAAGAUUUUUUACACUAAGUUUAACCUUAAGUGUAAAUCAUUAAAGAAAGACACCUGCAAUAAGUGCGAUAUAUUAGCUGUAAAAAUUCAAAAUGCUAGAACCCUCGAGGAAAAAGAACAAGCUAGAACAGAAAAGACUCGACAUUUAGAAAAGGCUGAAAAUUUGAGGAAGCAGAUGAACUCCGAUUUUGAAGACGCUCGAAACAUGUCGACUAUUGAAUGUUUAACAUUCGAUUUGGAAAAAAACCUUACCAUUACCACGAAUACCAACAAAUGUUGCGUUUUAUAAAAGGCAAUUGUGGCUCUACAACAGUGGCAUCCAUAGUGCUUCAAAUGACAUUGGUCAUUGUUACAUAUGGGUUGAAGGGGAAGCAGGAAGAGGUGCACAAGAGGUGGGAUCGUGUCUAAUUAAAUAUAUUCAAACUAAACUAAGGCCCACUGUUGAACACCUUAUUCUUUGGAGCGAUUGUUGUGGCGGGCAGAACCGCAACAUUAAAAUAGUUCUAAUGUUGAAAGCACUGUUAAACUCACAUGACACUUUAAAAGUCAUUACAAUGCGAUUUCUUGAGUCUGGGCAUACCUUUCUGCCUAAUGACACAGACUUUUCCAAAAUUGAAACUGCUCUCAAACACUAUCAACGUAUUUAUACAGCCGAAGAAUAUAUAUCUAUAAUUAAAAAGUGUAAGAAAAGAAAACCUUUACAAGUUUAUAAAAUGAAUAAGGCUGAUUUUUAUAGCACUGAAAAAUUGGAAAAAAAUACAACAAAUAGAAAAAAAUUCACCGACAAAACCAAAGUGAACUGGAUAAAGACAAAAGAAAUAAGAAUUGAAAAAGAAAAAGUGUUUUCUAUCUUUAUGAAACCAUCAUUGGAGGAAGAUUACAAGGAAUUAACAAUUGAAAAAAAAGUUAAAGGGGAAACACGAAACAUUAACAUGUCCGAUUUCUGUUUGUUGUGGCCGGAUGGUAAAGCCAUUGCUCCAGCCAAAUUAGCAGAUUUACAAUCCAUGUAUCAGUACAUACCUGAGGAUUGUCAUAAAUUUUAUAAAAACCUAAAGAGUAUGGAGGGAAUGAUAGAUGAUGUCGAUGGAUUUGGUGGUGAACCAGAUUUCGAAAUGCAAGAGGAUGAUGAGUAUGACGUAUGAUGAUUUUAUCAUCAUCAUCAGCCUAUAACAGUCCACUGCUAGACGUAGGCUUCCCCAAGCACAAAAUUUUAUACUGUUUUUUAAAUUGUGACUUUGUAAUAAAAAUAUCAUAAGUAA